rnacentral:rRNA from 1 species
CCUACGGGAGGCAGCAGUAGGGAAUAGUGCUCAAUGGGGGAAACCCUGAAGCAGCAACGCCGCGUGGAGGAUGAAGGUUUUCGGAGUGUAAACUCCUUUUGUUAGAGAAGAUAAUGACGGUAUCUAACGAAUAAGCACCGGCUAACUCCGUGCCAGCAGCCGCGGUAAUACGGAGGGUGCAAGCGUUACUCGGAAUCACUGGGCGUAAAGAGCGCGUAGGCGGGAUAGCAAGUCAGAUGUGAAAUCCUAUGGCUUAACCAUAGAACUGCAUUUGAAACUGUUAUUCUAGAGUAUGGGAGAGGUAGGUGGAAUUCUUGGUGUAGGGGUAAAAUCCGUAGAGAUCAAGAGGAAUACUCAUUGCGAAGGCGACCUGCUAGAACAUAACUGACGCUGAUGCGCGAAAGCGUGGGGAGCAAACAGGAUUAGAUACCCCUGUAGUC